ACUCUCCUACGGGGGGCAGCAGUGAGGAAUAUUGGUCAAUGGCCGGAAGGCUGAACCAGCCAAGUCGCGUGAGGGAAUAAGGCCCUAUGGGUCGUAAACCUCUUUUGUCGGGGAGCAAAGCGAGUCACGUGUGACUCAUUGAGAGUACCCGAAGAAAAAGCAUCGGCUAACUCCGUGCCAGCAGCCGCGGUAAUACGGAGGAUGCGAGCGUUAUCCGGAUUUAUUGGGUUUAAAGGGUGCGCAGGCGGAGGUGCAAGUCAGCGGUCAAAUUGCGGGGCUCAACCCCGUACUGCCGUUGAAACUGC
rnacentral:rRNA from 1 species